CCUACGGGAGGCAGCAGUGGGGAAUAUUGGACAAUGGGGGAAACCCUGAUCCAGCAAUGCCGCGUGAGUGAUGAAGGCCUUAGGGUCGUAAAGCUCUUUUACCAGGGAUGAUAAUGACAGUACCUGGAGAAUAAGCUCCGGCUAACUCCGUGCCAGCAGCCGCGGUAAUACGGAGGGAGCUAGCGUUGUUCGGAAUUACUGGGCGUAAAGCGUGCGUAGGCGGUUAUUCAAGUCAGAGGUGAAAGCCCGGGACUCAACCCCGGAACGGCCUUUGAAACUAGAUAACUAGAAUCUUGGAGAGGUCAGUGGAAUUCCGAGUGUAGAGGUGAAAUUCGUAGAUAUUCGGAAGAACACCAGUGGCGAAGGCGACUGACUGGACAAGUAUUGACGCUGAGGUACGAAAGCGUGGGGAGCAAACAGGAUUAGAUACCCUGGUAGUCCACGCCGUAAACGAUGAUAACUAGCUGUCCGGACACUUGGUGUUUGGGUGGCGCAGCUAACGCAUUAAGUUAUCCGCCUGGGGAUACGGUCGCAGAUUAAAACCGUCAAAGUGUAAUGACGNGNGAGNGNGACGACGACGACGACGAGGAG
rnacentral:rRNA from 1 species